GCGGGAGUAGCUCAACGGUAGAGCACUGGCCUUCCAAGCCAGGGGCUGCGGGUUCGAUUCCCGUCUUCCGCUCCA
rnacentral:tRNA from 2 species